rnacentral:rRNA from 1 species
AGCGAACGCUGGCGGCAGGCCUAACACAUGCAAGUCGAACGAACCUUCGGGGUUAGUGGCGGACGGGUGAGUAACACGUGGGAACGCUCCUUUAGGUUCGGAAUAACUCAGGGAAACUUGUGCUAAUACCGAAUGUGCCCUUCGGGGGAAAGAUUAAUCGCCUUUAGAGCGGCCCGCGUCUGAUUAGCUAGUUGGUUGAGGUAAUGGCUCACCAAGGCGACGAUCAGUAGCUGGUCUGAGAGGAUGAUCAGCCACAUUGGGACUGAGACACGGCCCAAACUCCUACGGGAGGCAGCAGUGGGGAAUCUUGCGCAAUGGGCGAAAGCCUGACGCAGCCAUGCCGCGUGAAUGAUGAAGGUCUUAGGAUUGUAAAAUUCUUUCACCGGGGACGAUAAUGACGGUACCCGGAGAAGAAGCCCCGGCUAACUUCGUG